CCACCUUUCUCGACAGUGCAUAAUAACUGGAAAGCCUCUUCCAUGGUAGUGUGGAAAAUGUUUGCUGCCCCCAUGGCUUUAGUCCUCCAGGCCUAUAACUAUGUUGGUUGUAAUCCUACCUACCAACUGCCUUCACCAGUGGCUGUGCCAUAUAUAACCUCAUCACUGAAGCAGUAACCACUAGAGCUCUGCAGCCUACCAAACCCCACACUACAGGUGAGGACCUGUGUACAUAUUUUAGUAGAUGUAGAUGACUUUUAUAUUGCAGGGCACCGAAUAGACACACUAGCCUCCAGACCCUCAUUUGAUGAAAUCAUAUGGUUUUAUUUGUUUUUAACUGUUGCCAUUGUAUUGAAUUGACUGUCUACAAUGCAUUGCGGUAAAUGCAUGAAUGAAUGAAAUCAUGGUUAAAAUAUGCAAUCGUAUACAAUCUGCACACUGGAUAUUUUAAGUAUCCCUAAAUCUGCUGCAGACCCUCUGGACUCCCCACCAGAAUGUUAAGAUUCUCAGACUUCACAUGGGGAACUACUAUAAUAAAUAUAAUAUCAAUAUAAUAAAACUACCCAAAGGUAGAUCAGAAUUAUUUCUCUGUUUAUUCUACAUAUACAGGGUAGUUAGAUGAUAGAUAACAGUGACACCAAUUUACAGGAUUCAAUCAAUGUAGUGUUGCAUUUAGUUUGAUUUGCUCUGAGCUGUGAAGUUGGGAUCAAAUAACCAUGAAAUGAAGGUUUACAUUUAGUAAUUAUUUAUUGCAUCACUGUUGUAUGGCAUCCAACUGAGGACAGACCAAAGUAGAAAAAAGGUAAAGGCCUCCUCAGAACCACACAGUAUGCAUUUCAGCAUUAGCAGGGCAAACACAAACAGUAAAAGUAAGUAUUCAUAAUUUAUUAUCAACAUCAACAAAAAGCAAAAGGACUGUAAAAAGUUCACAUGGAUCAUUUUAAGUCACAAGCUUUUCAAACUAAAAACUGUGCUGCAAAGUUUAUAUGAAAUUUUAGCCACCAUAUUCAAACUAUAUAGUACACAGGAUGCUGUAUUGUGGGCUAAUCACAAUCUCUUACCCUAGAUAAAAAUACAGCAACAUAAGCAGUUGUUGUGUUCACUGUGGCAACGUAUUUUCUUUCUGUUCAGUCUAAAGUACAAAAUCAGAGGCCAACUGAAGUGAGUGUAGGCUAAACAACAGAAACACCUCUCUGUAUAAUGCAAUACAGUUGAACAGCACCACAAACCUAGA